AACCUUUACAAUGCACGCAAGUGUGAUAAGGGAAUCCUGAGUGCUCAUGUUUUGCAUGGGCUUUUGUCAAGAGUAAAUAUCUUGAUGAAUAAGUGGUGGGAAAGACUGGUGCCAGCCGCCGCGGUAACACCAGCGCCACAAGUGGGAAUCGUUUUUAUUGGGUCUAAAGCGUCCGUAGCCGGCUUGGUAAAUUUUCUGUGAAAUCGGCCACGUUAACUGGUCGGCGUGCAGAAAACACUGCCGAGCUCGAGACUGGGAGGGGUAAGAAGUAUGCCGGGGGUAGCGGUAAAAUGUUAUAAUCCCCGGUGGACUACCAAUGGCGAAGGCAUUUUACCAGAACAGAUCUGACGGUGAGGGACGAAAGCUGGGGGAGCGAUCCGG
rnacentral:rRNA from 1 species